rnacentral:tRNA from 1 species
GGCUCGGUAGCUUAGUUAGUAUAGCGCUCGUCUAGCAUACAAGAGUCCUGGGUUCAAAUCCCAGCCGAGCAC